UGGCGGGACGGGGUGGAGUAAUGUCUGGGAAACUGCCCGAUGGAGGGGGAUAACUACUGGAAACGGUAGCUAAUACCGCAUAACGUCGCAAGACCAAAGAGGGGGACCUUCGGGCCUCUUGCCAUCGGAUGUGCCCAGAUGGGAUUAGCUAGUAGGUGGGGUAACGGCUCACCUAGGCGACGAUCCCUAGCUGGUCUGAGAGGAUGACCAGCCACACUGGAACUGAGACACGGUCCAG
rnacentral:rRNA from 1 species